CCUACGGGAGGCAGCAGUGGGGAAUAUUGCGCAAUGGGCGAAAGCCUGACGCAGCGACGCCGCGUGAGGGAUGAAGGUCUUCGGAUUGUAAACCUCUGUCAGCAGGGAAGAACGGUCACUGUGCUAAUCAGCAGUGAACUGACGGUACCUGCAAAGGAAGCACCGGCUAACUCCGUGCCAGCAGCCGCGGUAAUACGGAGGGUGCGAGCGUUAACCGGAAUUACUGGGCGUAAGGCGCUCGUAGGCGGUAUGUCAAGUCAAGGGUGAAAGCCCCGCGCUCAACGUGGGAACUGCCUUUGAAACUGAAAACUGGAGUGUGUGAGAGGAUAGUGGAAUUCCAGGUGUAGGGGUGAAAUCCGUAGAUAUCUGGAGGAACAUCAGUGGCGAAGGCGACUAUCUGGCACAUAACUGACGCUGAGGGGCGAAAGCGUGGGUAGCAAACAGGAUUAGAUACCCCAGUAGUC
rnacentral:rRNA from 1 species